UUAUACCACUUCAGUGAGUCUCUGCGUGGCCACAACGUUGCUGGCCCCUGCUUGCAGGAGUGACUCUUACCAAAUUUUCUGGCAUACUAGAAAAAGUGAACGCAUAUCAGCAGCCCAGGCAACUUUCUUGUUCCAGUGCCUUCUGAUAGUUCAAACAUAAGGUUUCUUAAUAAAUAUAGAAGUCAAGUAAACGUUUCACAAUCUUCCAAAAGGCACUGGCAGGGAGGGGGCAACUCAUGCAUAAACUCAGCCAAAACAGAAUUCAGCUUGAGCUCUGGAUGUGAGAUUCAGCAGUGAUUAUUAUUUGUGUGACAAAGACAAGUGGAAACUUCUGGCAGAUUCUGUAUAAAACACCACUGAGGGAACACAAGUGCAAAGAGUUGAUCUCAAUGCACAUUAUAAAGGUGGGUAAAUUAUAUUAUCCAGUAGGGCCAGAAGCAGCCAAAUCUGGGACUCAGUGAGAGGGGGCAAAAUGGGGCCCAGCCAGGACUACCCCUUCCCUGGACCCAAAACUGUGUAGGGGAGACCCUACCCCAACUCUGGGAGCACUAGACCUCUCUUCCCCUGCCCUCCACCAUACAGCCCUGAGGAAGAACUGCACAGAACAGCCAGCCAGACACUCCAUCUGACAAGAGCAGAAACAGCCAAAGCUGGGAGCUCUGGACACUCCAGUCAAAACUGGAGAAAGUUCUGGUUUUCUUUGCCCUGUGCUGAUGGGAAGUAAAUUCCAACCCUCUCCCCACCACCCAGUCUCUCUACCUCAGCUUCACUCCUCCCCUGCCCUGCCCCUUUCACCCCACUUCCCUUCCCUAGCCACUUAAGGUCAGACCCAGGCAGUGGGUGGCCCUGAGAGACCAAGCUGUCACUUGACCCAACAUUCACACUGCUAUUUUCAGUCCUGCAGUAGGCCCUGAAGCCAAGGGAUUGAAGGCAAAGGGGUAUUCUCUUUCAGCACUGAGAGAGGAGAGGAAAAGACUCCAGGAGCUGUGGCUUAAAGUUGUGGAUUGAAGUGAUGGAGCUGGAUCUUGACCUGUUGAUGGCUUUGCAGAUGAAGAUCAAGGCCUUCAUCUGACAAUGGAAGUGGGGCUGGAGCAAGUGGAGGGAUUUGAUGAUGUGUUCACAGCAGCCAGUCCUGCUGAAGAGAUACACCGUUUUCCAGAAUACGGUCCCCCAUGCUGUACACAUGGCCUGCAUUCUUUGUUCCUAGAUGGAAAACUUUGCAUUUGGUUGAAUCGUUUGACUGGACACAGCUCACCAAGUGAUUCAGAUUGUUUAUGACUCACCCUGACCUCAUCACUAUGUACCCCUUUCCCAAUCUCUGUUAAACUGUACAUUUUAUCAGCAUGAUUUUAUAUUUACUUCUAUAUCACUGAUUAAAUAUUGUAUAGCGUCAGUCCUAGUACUGCACCCUGUGGAACCCCACUAGAAACACUUCUUUUUAUGAGGUUUCUCCAUUGACAACUACUUUAAGAUCUGUCACUAAGCCAGUUCUUAAUCCAUUUAAAGUGCAUUUUAUUGAUAUUGUCUAGUGUUAGUUUUGUAAUCAGAAGGUCAUGCAGUACUAAAUCAAACUCCUUACAAAGGUCUAAAGUAUAUUAUAUCUAUGCAGUUAUCUUUAUCAACCAAAGCUGUAAAUGUAUGAAAGAAUGAAAUCAGGGUUGUUUGACUGACCUAUUUUC